UUUCCUUUUGUGAACUGUUUUCCAGACUGGACAUCAUUUAUAACUACAGUAUAACCUCUCUAUCAAUGGUUAUAUAUUUUCCAUGGAUUCUUGGAACUGCAGAUAAUAGUGAACCCUAUGUUGACUAUACUGGACAAAAAGUUUACCAUAGAAUCACACUGGAGGAGCCAUAGAGGCCCACAAACACUUCCAGAGGGAAGUAGUUUUUGGAGUGUGGAAAUGAGAAAAAAUAAAGGAAAAGAAAGAAGAGCAGGGUGUGUGUUACAGAACUUUCUUCAACCUCAUCAGAUCUACAAAUUCAUAAGAAGAAAGACCACUCUCUGCGAUUCAACACCGAAAUACAACACUGACUGAGCUCUGUGAGCAUGGUAUUUCUUUGAAUGAAGCAGAGAGCGUUUGAAGAUUGAGAUACGAAGAUGCUUCUUUAUAAAGCUAUUGUCCUUCCAAUUCUAUUGAACGCCUGCAAAACAUGAACUGUCUACAAAUGUCACUCAACUUCUGGAACAAUUCCAACAGUGUUGCGUUUGAGAAAUCCUGCAAAUCUCUUGGGGAGACAGGUGGACAAAUGUCAGCAUUCUGGAACAAGCAAAGACCAACAGCAUUGAAGCCAUGAUAACCCGCCAUCGACUUUGCUGGUCUAGCAACAUUGUCUGAAUGCCUGAGGACUGUCUCAUAAGCAGUUACAUUAUUCUCAGCUCAAGACCAGAAAAUUGACAGCAAAAGAUACUUAAAGAUUGGCUUAAAGCUAACCUUAAAAAAUGUGGUAUAAACACUGGGAACUGUGAAUCCCUGGCCCUUGAGUGCUCCAGCAAAAAGAAAGUCUACCAAAACCUUAGUAUGCAGCGUAUAUCAGGAUAUGCUUCUGUCCAAUAUGGAUUUCACAUUAUACAGGUCCAACACUGGCCACAUGCUAUAGAUUUGCAAAUAAAGAAUCAUAUUAAUCAAAUUGUAGGUGAUCAAUAAUGACACCUGUCAGAAGGUAGUGGAAAUGAAAGGAAAGGAAUAUUAAAUUAAAAUUCAAUUGUUUGGAAAUAAGACCAUUAGCUUCAAUGGAUUUUGUUUCCAAAAUGCUGAUUAUACUGCAGCCCAUCCCUUAAUAAUCAACAUACAGUACAUAAUCCCAAUCAGAAUAACUUCUGAUCAGAACAUGAAAUACACAUUAGGCACUGUCUAUGGAACAACCAUAUAAGUAAAAUAUGCAAGUGUAUGUAGAAGGAAAUUUUCCCUGAGCAGAACAUAAUCCAGGCAAUUCAUCGUCAGGUCAACUGGCAUCAUGCCACAGAGGAUAACACUUGUGAUACUUGCCAUGAAAGUAUCUUUGACGCUAAGCUCCUUGCUAAAGCUCAUCCAAGUGUUGUUUUUCCACAGCAGGAAAGACAUAUUGAGAUGCCCAGCUCUGCUGACUAGCAGCUGCUAGACACCAGUUUUCACAUCUUGAGUUCAGCUUUGGGUUGCAAUGCUAAAUAGCUGGAGAAAGUAAAGGAUCCCAUGGAAUGUUUAUCAAUGUGUAAAUACAACUCUUGAGGUGUUCGUCACAGAAUAUUCCCAUGAAAAGUACUACAGGAAUGGAAUCCACAUCACUUGAAGAGAAGUUCAUAAACAGGUCAUAAUUGGGUGACUCAAAGUUCAAUGACAAAGUAAGAUGGAAGUACACAAUUCAAAACAAUUAUACACCAGUGUUAUCCUAGUGUUACAGACUUUAAAAUGAAUCAAGACAGCCCUGCAUCGAUGAAUCUGGAAGGAUAUUUCCACAUCAUGUGGCAGGUUACAGUCCAAAGGAUCUGCACUGAGCUUCUUUUGCAGAGCAAUUAGGCUGCAAAGCUUGGAAAAUUUACUCCUUUGGAGUAGACAACUGGACAUCCUAACUGCACAAUUCAGAAAGUUGUACAAAAAAACCUAUUACCUGAAAAUAUGCUAUUGUAUGUUCUUUCAGGCCUCCUAAGGAGGCACAAAUUUGGAUUCUGUAGUCUAUGACAUAAACUUAGCUGGAACAGGACUUUUCUUCUGUGACAAUACAGCAACCUUGAAAUAGCAUUCCUCAGAGAGAUCUGCCAAACGCAAUUGCUACUUAGAUUUUGAUCCUCAGUGAAAAUGUGUUUUAUAUAUAUAGUGUCUCGUUCUCUUCUGCCUCCCGAUAAUAUCUAUGGAAUCACAAUAAAGAUCUCUCCCAAGAUAUUUUGCUGCUGAAGAAAAGGCUAAGACUGCUCUCUACCACUUUCAGUCCACAUCUAGGAGCUGACAAAGCUGGCCAUUAUAUGUAAGUUGAAUUAAGGUCCAAUAUGUGUACCACAGAAACUUAAGGUACACAAGGCAUACUGUUAUUGAGCCACAUUACCACCACUCCCCCAAAAAAAGAUUUAUAGUUCGCCAAGACCACAAAUAAAUAUAUGAUUUCUCUUUUAUUAAAAAGACCUUUCCCAGGUGUCCAGAGUUGCACAAGUUUGAAGUUUUAGUAAAUCAGGAACAUUUGUCUUUUAAAUUAUUUCUAUAUUCCAGCCUUUUUCCAAAAAUGGAGAGAGCAGAUGGCUGCAGCGAGGUUGAGAUCUAAUUCCACAUUUUGCAAGACCAUUCUUCAUUAAUUAAAAUGAGACGUACUUG
rnacentral:lncRNA from 11 species